GGCGUGUACUGCUUGGCUGGGCCUUACUUCUUGGUGAGCCGGCGUGCCCUUUAUUGGUGUGCGUCGGGGAACCAAGACUUUUACCUUGAGAAAAUUAGAGUGUUCAAAGCAGGCCUAUGCCUGAAUACAUUAGCAUGGAAUAAUAGAAUAGGACGUGCGGUUCUAUUUUGUUGGUUUCUAGAGUCGCCGUAAUGAUUAAUAGGGACAGUUGGGGGCAUUGGUAUUGAGUCGCUAGAGGUGAAAUUCUUGGAUUGACUCAAGACCGACUAUUGCGAAAGCAUUUGCCAAGGAUGUUUUCAUUAAUCAAGAACGAAGGUUAGGGGAUCGAAAACGAUCAGAGACCGUUGUAGUCUUAACAGUAAACUAUGCCGACUAGGGAUCGGAUGACCUCAAAAUUGAUGUGUCAUUCGGCACCUUACGAGAAAUCAAAGUCUUUGGGUUUUGGGGGGAGUAUGGUCGCAAGGCUGAAACUUAAAGGAAUUGAGGGAGGGGCACCCCCAGGUGUGGAGCCUGCGGCUUAAUUUGACUCAACACGGGGAAACUCACCAGGUCCAGACAUAACUAGGAUUGACAGAUUGAUAGCUCUUUCAUGAUUUUAUGGGGUGGUGGUGCAUGGCCGUUCUUAGUUGGUGGAGUGAUUUGUCUGGUUAAUUCCGAUAACGAACGAGACCUUAACCUCCUAAAUAGCCAGCCCGGCUUCGGCUGGUCUCUGGCUUCUUAGAGGGACUGUCAG
rnacentral:rRNA from 1 species